rnacentral:rRNA from 1 species
ACCCCGGCGAACGGGUGAGUAACACGUGGGAACUUUCAACAAGUUUGGGAUAACCUCUAGAAAUGGAGGACAAUACCAAAUGUGAUCGCAAGAUUAAAGGAGCAAUCCGCUUGUUGUGAGGCCUGCGGCCCAUCAGCUAGUUGGUAGGGUAAUGGGCCUACCAAGGCGAUGACGGGUAGCGGAAGCGAGAGCUUGAUCCGCCACACUGGGACUGCGACACGGCCCAG